rnacentral:rRNA from 1 species
GACGAACGCUGGCGGCGUGCUUAACACAUGCAAGUCGAACGGAAAGGCCCUGCUCUUGUGGUGUGCUCGAGUGGCAAAGGGGUGAGUAACACGUGUGUAACCUGCUCUACAUUUUGGUAUAACUUCAGGAAACUGGGGCUAAUACCGGAUAGGAGCCCCCGCCGCGGGGUGGGGGUGGGAAAGUUUGGGCGGUGGGGGUUGGACUCGCGGCUUAUCAGUUUUUUGGUGGGGUAGGGGCUUACCAAGGCUUUGGGGGGUAGCGGGCCUGAGAGGGUGCCCGCCCACAUGGGGACUAGGAUAGGGCCCAGACUCCAAGGGGGGGCAGAGGGGGGAAGUAUGGAAAAUGGGGGGAAGGCCGGUGCAGGCAGCGCGGGGGGGGGAAUGACGGCCUUCGGGUUGAAAACGGUUUCCGCCUUUAACGAGGCGUGUGUGACGGUAAUGGGUAAAGAAGCACCGGCUAACUACGUG